ACGGCCGUACCAUGCUGAAUAUACCGGUUCUCGUUCGAUCACCGAAUUCAAGCAUCAUCCGGCGCGGCCAGUACUUGGGAGGGUGACCACCUGGGAUCACCGAGGGCCGU
rnacentral:rRNA from 1 species